rnacentral:rRNA from 1 species
GACGAACGCUGGCGGCGUGCUUAACACAUGCAAGUCGAACGGAAAGGCCCUGCUUUUGUGGGGUGCUCGAGUGGCGAACGGGUGAGUAACACGUGAGUAACCUGCCCUUGACUUAGGGAUAACUUCAGGAAACUGGGGCUAAUACCGGAUAGGAGCUCCUGCUGCAUGGUGGGGGUUGGAAAGUUUCGGCGGUUGGGGAUGGACUCGCGGCUUAUCAGCUUGUUGGUGGGGUAGUGGCUUACCAAGGCUUUGACGGGUAGCCGGCCUGAGAGGGUGACCGGCCACAUUGGGACUGAGAUACGGCCCAGACUCCUACGGGAGGCAGCAGUGGGGAAUAUUGCACAAUGGGCGGAAGCCUGAUGCAGCAACGCCGCGUGCGGGAUGACGGCCUUCGGGUUGUAAACCGCUUUCGCCUGUGACGAAGCGUGAGUGACGGUAAUGGGUAAAGAAGCAUCGGCUAACUACGUG